CGGCACCUACUCAUCUUUAUGUGACCUCAUACCUCGCGAUCGCCUUCCUCCGCCUGUGGAAUCUCGGAUCUGUGAUGUUCUCUCUUAAGUCCCAACACAAUUCUCUGUAAUAAGAAAACCUCUUUCCUAGAUUCAUUUUACUUCUAUUUGCCCCAGAUCUUUGUUAUAUGGCAGCAACGACUCCUCCAGAAUUUAAUUUUUGAGUAGUUGUUUUUGUCUUUUUCAGAUUCGAAACUAUUCCACCUAGAUCACUUCAGAAAUCAAACCCUUUUUAAGUUUAAUUUUAAUUUUACUCACUAAAUUUCGGAUCUGUGAUUUCUCUUUUGAGUCCCAAUUAAUACAAUCCUUUGUAUUAUUAAAACUUCUUUCCUAGAUUCGUUUAACUUUUAUUAUCCCCAGAUCUUUGUUAUAUGGAUAGCAAUGAUCCUCCAGAAUUUAACUUUCGAGUAGUUGUUUUUGUCUUUUUCAGGUUAGAAUUAUUCCACAUAGAUCGCUUCAGAAACAAAACUCUCUCUAAGUUUAAUUUUACUUUAGCUCAAUGUGAUUGUUUUUCUUCAGGCCAGCAACGAUUCCGCACAUACUGAGUAAACUUCCCAUUGUUGACACCUUUGAGUUUGUUUGUACUUAUUUGUUCUUUAUGUCUUAAUAGCUGAACUAGAAAUCUUGAUUUUGCUUGAGGGAACGGUGCAAAAAAGUUUCGCAAACGCGGCAAAGGUCAAGUUUCAUGCUUAACCUUCAUAUGAUCCUAUCUAACUAUAGCAUCAUACGGUAUUAUCACUAUGAUCAUAGAGUACUGAUAUGAUCUUUUGGUAUCCUAAUAUUUUGAUCACACGAGUUGUGUGUAGACUGGAAAGUGUAAAGAGAUAGAAAAUUAAAUUAUAAGCAGUCAUAGGAACUGAAGAGGACUCAUACAGACCAAAGGCUCUUGGAAUAAUGGUAGGUUGAUUGCGGCAUUUUGCUACAUAAUGCUCUACCGGAACAGUCUUUAGGCCCCAAUUAUUUAAUGCACAGAAUAUAAAAUAACAGUAUACCACAACUAUCUAUUCGGACGGAUAGGACUACUAUAAAUGUUUACAAAAAGUUAUCUAUGAUAAGAGUCCACUGUAUUAGGUUAUAAGGUGUAAUAGUAACUUAUUUUUAUUUACCUCUUGGCUCCUCCAGGUCAAAUUACUUGUGCAUGCAGUUGUCUCACCAUCUUUAGUUUGGUGCAACGAAGCCUUGGCGAUUGCAUGGCUGAGCUAUCAUUGAAUGAGUUGAUUAAGGCUCUGACUUUAAGAUUAGAUCCAUGAAGAAAGUGUUACCCGAAUAUGGAUGUCUGGUGUUUAUACAACCAGGUGUUUCGUGUAAUGGUUACAUCUUGAAAGCUAUGUCUACGCUUCCUUAUUGCAUUGUGGUCCGUAUCGUCCUUCUAUACACAUUAGUUUGACCAUCGUUAGUUCAGUUCAUUGGUGUCAUCAUUUUCUUCGUUGUUUGCUUAAACAACAGAAUCAUCUGGAUUGCAAGUAAGAACUUCUAAAUAACCAUGAACAUUUGAUUUUAUAGCAUGCAGUAAGAUUUCCUUAUCACAUUCUUCUCCCUGAACCCUACCUACAUCUAUGUACCAGUUGCAGUGGUGGAUAGCAGGAGCUGAGCCGAGAAGGACGAAGAGAUAGAUGAAUUAUUCUCAGGAUAAUCGCCGUCGGGCCUACUCACAAACGAUAUGCAUGUGUAGUCCUUCAAAAACAAGGGAACCGUCAUGUUGAUAAGCGAGUCGUUGCCUCCCGAGGUGAACUGCUUAGGAUUAGACGCUAAUCAUCUCUGGAAUUUUGAUCUUCUGCAUGGAGAGUACUCACCGGUGGCAGCUCCAUGAGUACUUGCCGGAGUAUAUGUCUACGUGUCUAAGGAAAAAGAAUCAAGGAAAGGCAUAUUUUCUUCUGCAGCCAUACCUCGGUUGUUCAUCCGAUUGUUGUGUGUUAUUCUGGUGCAUAGCAAGAGAAGCCUCUUCUAAAUCAUGUUGCGGUUCGCCUGUCCUGUGUGUUGCUUUGAUUCGAAAAAAAACAAGAUCGAGAAGCACAAGGUGACUACCGUAGAUGGAUCUGUCACCCGUUGCCUCCAUCGAUUCAACAUUGGAUUGCAAAACUGUAACGCAGGACCCUCAGCCAUGCAGUGAUCACUAUUUUUUUGCGGACCAUUCUGUACAGGCUUCUCCCUACCAUGUGUAAUCUAUCAGGCAUGUAUGCAAUGCACAUUUAGGCGUGCCAUCGUACUAUAGGCUAUGAGUGCUUGACAUAAUGUGAUUUUGUUGCGGGUGAUUGAUUUAUCGCUUCUUAAUUUCA